AAGCAUAUUAAUAAGCGGAGGAAAAGAAACUAACUAGGAUUCCCUCAGUAAGGGCGACUGAAGCGGGAAUUGCUCGUGAUGUGAAUCUACGGAAUUGUGGUCAAGGUGUGUUAGUGGCCGGCCUAAGUCCUUUGGAACAAGGCAGCAAGGAGGGUGAGACUCCCGUGUGGCUGGCCGUUGAAACGCCUACUAGCGAGUCGAGUUGUUUGGGAUUGCAGCUCUAAGAGGGUGGUAAAUUCCAUCUAAAGCUGAAUACUGGUGGGAGACCGAUAGCGUACAAGUACCGUGAGGGAAAGAUGCAAAGGACUUUGAAAAGAGAGUUAAAGAGUACCUGAAAUUGCUGAGAAGGAAGCGAAGGAAACCAGUGCAAGGCAUGUCAUACUUCCCCUCUCGCUUGCGGCUGGGGCGCUGUGGCUGCUGUUGUCCAGCUUGUUUUGGGCGGUCGGACGACUUGUCGCGGCUGUCUCGAUUGAGCUGGACGAAAUGGUUUUCUUUUUCCCG
rnacentral:rRNA from 1 species